UGGGGAAUAUUGGACAAUGGGCGAAAGCCUGAUCCAGCCAUGCCGCGUGUGUGAAGAAGGUCUUAUGGUUGUAAAGCACUUUAAGCGAGGAGGAGGGUACUGGUAUUAAUACUACCAGGUACUGGACGUUACUCGCAGAAUAAGCACCGGCUAACUCUGUGCCAGCAGCCGCGGUAAUACAGAGGGUGCAAGCGUUAAUCGGAAUUACUGGGCGUAAAGCGCGCGUAGGUGGUUCGUUAAGUUGAAUGUGAAAGCCCCGGGCUCAACCUGGGAACUGCAUCCAAAACUGGCGAGCUAGAGUAGGGCAGAGGGUGGUGGAAUUUCCUGUGUAGCGGUGAAAUGCGUAGAUAUAGGAAGGAACACCAGUGGCGAAGGCGACCACCUGGGCUCAUACUGACACUGAGGUGCGAAAGCGUGGGGAGCAAACAGG
rnacentral:rRNA from 1 species